rnacentral:rRNA from 1 species
UUUUAGUUGCCACCAUUUAGUUGGGCACUCUGAAAGAACUGCCAGUGAUAAGCUGAUGGAAGGUGGGGAUGACGUCAAGUCCUCAUGGCCCUUAUGUGUUGGGCUACACACGUGCUACAAUGGCAUUUACAAUAGGAAGCAAGAUGGCGACAUUGAGCAAAUCCUAAAAAAAUGCCUCAGUUCGGAUUGCACUCUGCAACUCGAGUGCAUGAAGCUGGAAUUACUAGUAAUCGCGGAUCAGCGCCGCGGUGAAUACGUUCCCGGGUCUU